UUGACCUCAAAUCAGGGU
rnacentral:rRNA from 1 species